UACGGAGGGUGCGAGCGUUGUCCGGAAUCACUGGGCGUAAAGGGCGCGUAGGUGGCGGCCCAAGUCAACGGUGAAAGCUCGGCGCUCAACGCCGAGUCGGCCGUCGAUACUGGGUUGCUUGAGCACUGUAGAGGCAGGCGGAAUUCCGGGUGUAGCGGUGGAAUGCGUAGAGAUCCGGAAGAACACCGGUGGCGAAGGCGGCCUGCUGGGCAGUUGCUGACACUGAGGCGCGACAGCGUGGGGAGCAAACAGG
rnacentral:rRNA from 1 species